rnacentral:rRNA from 1 species
GGUGAACGCUGGCGGCAGGCCUAACACAUGCAAGUCGAGCGGAUGACGGGAGCUUGCUCCUUGAUUCAGCGGCGGACGGGUGAGUAAUGCCUAGGAAUCUGCCUGGUAGUGGGGGACAACGUUUCGAAAGGAACGCUAAUACCGCAUACGUCCUACGGGAGAAAGCAGGGGACCUUCGGGCCUUGCGCUAUCAGAUGAGCCUAGGUCGGAUUAGCUAGUUGGUGGGGUAAUGGCUCACCAAGGCGACGAUCCGUAACUGGUCUGAGAGGAUGAUCAGUCACACUGGAACUGAGACACGGUCCAGACUCCUACGGGAGGCAGCAGUGGGGAAUAUUGGACAAUGGGCGAAAGCCUGAUCCAGCCAUGCCGCGUGUGUGAAGAAGGUCUUCGGAUUGUAAAGCACUUUAAGUUGGGAGGAAGGGCAGUAAGUUAAUACCUUGCUGUUUUGACGUUACCGACAGAAUAAGCACCGGCUAACUCUGUGCCAGCAGCCGCCGUAA